UUAGCUUCGACGAUGGAUCGGUCGAUUCGCGUAUCGAUGAAAAACGCAGCUAGCUGUGUUAUUUACCACGAAUUGCAGACGCUUAGAGUGGUGAAAUUUUGAACGCAUAGCGUCGUUGGGUUUUCCCUUCGACACAUCUGGUUCAGGGUUG
rnacentral:rRNA from 1 species